UUUUUUUUUUUUGCUUCAAGUUACAUUGACUAGGGUUAUUUAUGGCUCAAUUUGAUCAUUUUGAGGAUUUUGUUAAGCUUUGCUCGGGUCUACUUACAGUAGCUUUUAAUCUAUGUAAUAGAGUUCUGUUCCAUUUUAAAGAGGAGCAUGUUCAUAACUGUAACUGAUAGUGUAUCAAAUGAAUAAAAUUCAUGAAUGUGUAGUGAUUUUUAAGAAAAAUAAAGGUUUGGGGCUCUGUUUUAUAGAAGAAUGCCAAUAGAAGGUGAUAAAGAAUCAUGAUUUUGUAAACUAUAAUGUAACACUGAUCCAUACAAGGAUCGUCGUGUGUAUUAAUUUCUUGUUGUUGAUGUAACAAGCUACUACAAAGUGGUGUACCAUAACAUUGAUUUAUUAUUUUUCAGUUCUGGAGACCAGAAGUCCAAAAUGGGUCAAAUAGGAUAAGACUCUCUGCUGGCUAGAGGUAACUCAGAUUAAUUCCCCAAAUUAUAGGAUUUCUCUUUUUGCUUGACUUCAUAGAGUCUCAUCAUAUACCUCAGUUUAAUUAUAACUAAAUAUUAUAAAAUGAUGAUAAGAAUAACUAAAUGUUCUCAUUAUCAUCAUUUUAAACUAUGGGACAAUUGUGUGUUUCUAAAAAAUAAGGACAUCAUCUAUAAAUUCAUAAGAAGCUGUUAUUAAUGUAUUCCAUAAUGUGAUCUAAUUUUUAAACUAUAUUUAAAGUUCCACUGAUUGUCUUUAAAAUUAUUGUUAAGUAUCAAUAUCCAUUUUAAGUUUACAUAUUGCAUUUGUUUAUUAUGUCUUUUCCAUCCUUUUUAAAAAUUUAGAAUGUCUCCCAUCCUUUUUUAUGACAUUGCAAUUUUGAGGAGUAUAGAGUAGUAGACAUACAAUAAGUUUCAUUUCCUGAAUGUGUUUGAUUAUUUUAUUGUGGCAUCAUUUCUUUAUGCUGUAAGUUAGAGCUAAAGCUUAUUUAAAUACAGAUUAAAAUUUUUUGGUAAGAUUAUCUUAUAAAUUAUUUGUGUACUUUAAAUUAUAUAACAUUAGUUGGUAUAUAAUUUCUCAUUGUCCCAUGGUUUAAGAUGAUGAUAAUGAGAACACUUAGUUAUAAAAGUCAUUAAUAAGUAAUCUGUGAGGUGAUGCUCUGUUAUGGUUUGGAUAUGAAGUUUCCUCCAAAAGCUCCUACUAAUGCAGGAAUAUUCAGAGGUAAAAUAAUUAGAUAUUAGAUUAUACAGAGUUGUAAUCAGUCAAUCCUAGAUUGAAUGGAAUGACUGGGUGUUAACUGGACAGGUAGUCAUGACUAGAAGUGGAUUCCUGGGGAUAUGCCCUGGAAGGGUGCAUCUUCCUGGUGGCCCUUUCCCCCUCGUCUCUCUAUCUCUACUUCCUGGCAGCUUCCCUCCACCAUGCCCUUCUGCCAAGAUGUGCUGCGUCAUCUUGGUCCAGAUCAAUGGAGCCUGCCAUCUAUAGACUGAGACUUCUUAUAUCAUGAGCCAAAAUAAACUUUUCCUUCUCUUAAGUUAUUUUUGCUGGGUAUUUUGGUCACAGUGACACAAAAAUUAACUACUAAAACAGAUAACAUCAAUAUUCUGCUUAGAAGCAACUUUUUGCAAAGUAUGGUAGGCUGAAGGACCCACACCCCAUUCCACAUCCUAAUCACUGAAACUGUGAAUAUGUAGUCUUAAAUGGAAAAACAGGACUUUGCAGGUAUGAUUCAAUUAAUAAUCCUGUGAUCGGGAGGUUAUUCUGGAUUAUUUGGGUAGGCACAACGUGAACACAAGUGUCCUCAUAAGGAACAGGAAGGUCAGAGUUAGAAGUACACGUCAUGAUGAAAGUAGAGGUUGGAAGGACAUGGGGCUAUGAGAUUGAAGAAUGUGGACAGAUGUAGAAACUAAAAAAGAUGAGAAACAGAUUUUCCCUAGAGUCACUUAAAAAAAUGUAGGCAUGUUCAUCCAUUUUGGACUUCUGGUCUCCAGAACUGCAAAAUAAUAAAUCUAUGUGUGGUCAGCCAUUAAGUUUGCAACAUCAGCAAAAAGAAAUUGACAUACAAGAUGUCAAUUCAUCCUUGUAUGAAUCAGUGUUACAAUAUACAUUGUAAAAUUAUGAUUCUUUUAUUCUGUGCCACCUUCUAUUGACCUUCUUCUAUAAAACAGAGCCCUAAUCUUUUUCUUAAGUAUCACUACAAAUUUGUGAACUUUUAUUCAUUUGACAUAAUAUCAGUUACAGUUAUUUGUGCUGGUGCUUAAAUAUUUUCCAGUUUUGACAGUGGGAGCCCCUGUAACCUGUCCUCACAGCAGAUUGAAGACUCCUGUGACCUGAUGUUAAUCUUUAAGUACUGUCUUUUCUGGCAUAAAAACAUAUCCUAGAAUAUUUCUCAUCUAUUUCUCCAAGGAGUGAUGGUUUCUUGAAUGUGUUGAGUAUGGUGAAGGUUCAAAAUCAAGAUUUGUUCAUCUUGAGGAGUAUUCAUAUUCUAAGUAUGAAAGGGAAUAUUCAUGCUUAUGUCUAUUUGAUAUUGGAAUCAGUUAUCUAAAAAAAUUCUGGGAAUGUGAAAUGUGGUCUGUUUGUCUUUAUUUCUGAAAUAAAUAAUCCC
rnacentral:lncRNA from 1 species